AAUAAUAAUAAUAAUAAUAAUCUUAUGAUGUAAUUGUUUUACUAUUAAAUAUAGUCAUGAUUUAUUUAAAAUCAAUUUGUCUAUUUUGUAAAAAGAAGAAAUUUUAUUUAUAAUUAUAUAUGGUCGUGAAAAAGUAUUAUAAAUAAAACUGCACAAAACAGAGACUCCACCUGUUGCCAUUGUUUUAUGUUCCUAAAAUUAGCUUAAAUCUAAAUGUAACCUGGAUUUUAUGAAGCUAGCUUACCAAUAUUAAUUCAUUUUUCUUUUUUAAUUUGGCUGAUUAAAUUUUCUCAUAGUUGCCAAAUAUUUUCCAUUGUAUUUGAAUAUUAAUUGGGUAUAAAUUUUUUUAUAUAUACUAAAAGUUU
rnacentral:misc_RNA from 1 species